AUUGAACGCUGGCGGCAGGCCUAACACAUGCAAGUCGAGCGGCAGCGGGAAAGUAGCUUGCUACUUUUGCCGGCGAGCGGCGGACGGGUGAGUAAUGCCUGGGAAAUUGCCCAGUCGAGGGGGAUAACAGUUGGAAACGACUGCUAAUACCGCAUACGCCUACGGGGAAAGCAGGGACCUUCGGGCCUUGCGCGAUUGGAUAUGCCCAGGUGGGAUUAGCUUGUUGGUGAGGUAAUGGCUCACCAAGGCGACGAUCCCUAGCUGGUCUGAGAGGAUGAUCAGCCACACUGGAACUGAGACACGGUCCAGACUCCUACGGGAGGCAGCAGUGGGGAAUAUUGCACAAUGGGGGAAACCCUGAUGCAGCCAUGCCGCGUGUGUGAAGAAGGCC
rnacentral:rRNA from 1 species